GUAGAUGCUCAUUCCAUCUCUUAUGUUCGCCUUCGGCCUCAUAAACCCAGGAAUGAUGCAGAGCCGUUUACGGUGCUUAUCGUCCACUGACAGAUGUCGCGUUUAUACGCACGAUCUUCACGCUGCUUCAAAGCAGCUUGAGAGAUACAGCGUAUCGUCUCAUCAAACACCAUGGACAUAACGUUGAGUGAAGCACCCAAUUUGUUGUCAAACAGACCUGUUUUAACGCCUGCCCUGGUUUCAGUGCAGGCGUUUUUUU
rnacentral:sRNA from 1 species